CCUACAUUCUGAUCUGACACACACACCAGUACCUCCCUACAUUCUGAUCUGACACACACACCAGUACCUCCCUACAUUCUGAUCUGACACACACACCAGUACCUCUCUACAUUCUGAUCUGAACACACACACACACACACACACUAGUACCUCCCUACAUUCUGAUCUGAACACACACUUCUUUAUCUUCUAAUCCCACGUAUCCAUCCACAGCUUCUCUCCGAUCCACAGUUACUGUACAAACACAUGUAUCUUCUAAUCUGAGAUUGACAGCUCUUCUUUCAAUAGCCGAGCGAUGCCACGUCUAGUCCUUCUACAUUAGGAACGGGUAAAUGUGCUCCAACUCCCAUUGUUUUUGUCUCUUCAUGGAUAGAUGCUAAAUACCAGGCAUCCUCUACCGCUGGCGUUCAACUAGUAACUUAACAAGGUUUUAAUUUAUUUCUGAAAGAUACUGCUACUUCUAUAACACACACGGGUCAACGUGACUUCAGAAGAGCACACUGGUUCCUCCUUUGAGACAUUCCCCCAGCCAGCCAACUCCACUAAGGAAUGACGGGCUAUUGGAUGGCUGCCUGCUGUUUUUAACCAAUCACCGGGCACAGUCUAUUUUGCCCUUAAAAAUCCCAGGAAGUGAACGUGCCAUCAGCAGGUUUAGACAGAAACGCGUUCCAUCUUUCAUCCUUUUGACUUGUAUAGCCGGAGUGGAUCAGAUAUUUAUUUGAGUCCAGUGUGAGUCCGUCACCCCAUUGAAAGGUAUUUUGUCCCUAGCUUGUUGCUUGUUCUGACAAUGUACAAUACUGUCUUGAUUGGUUGAGUGGUUUUUUUUUUGUAGUCGCUAUAGAAGUGAAGCAACUCUUUACAUUCGGCAGUUUAAGUGUGUGUGUGUGUGUCUCUAAUGGACCCCUAUUCACUAA